GAUAUUUCUCAGUUUAUUAUAAGAUUAUAUGGUUUAAUUUGAAUAUAUGGGAUUAUUAUUGCCAAUUUAAUGUAUGAGAUUAUUAUGAGACUAUAGGGUGUAAUGUGUCACAUCUUUGGCCCAGUGGAUUGGUUGUUGUUUUGCAGAGGCCCCGCCCACACCCGAGGUGGGAGUGGUGUCACUCUCCUCUGCUGGAGGGUUCUGUAAGGUGUCAGUGAACUGCUCUGCUAAAGACACCUGGGCCAGCUACACCUGUGACCACGCCCAAUGCACGCAGGUAGCGAAUACAGCCUCGCCAACAGGAGUCAACAUCAUCGUCACGGCAACCAACGGUACCAUUCACUGCAGCAGCAGUAACCGGGUCGACAUAAAGACGCGAUCAGAAUCCAUAAAGGACUUCUGUGCUCCAGUAACACCAUCUCCUGGCCUCUCACCGUGUGUGCUAAUGUCAGUGCUGUUCUCCCUGGGUCUGGUUGCCAUGGUUUCGGCUGUCAUCGCAGUUAAUGCCAGAGAGAGGUGCUGCAGAGAUCAAUCAGGACUGAGAGAGAA